UGGGGAAUUUUGGACAAUGGGCGCAAGCCUGAUCCAGCCAUGCCGCGUGAGUGAAGAAGGCCUCGGUUGUAAGACUCUUUCGGUCCGGGGAACGGAAAUACGUGGUCUCUAACAUAGGCCAUGGAUGACGGUACCGG
rnacentral:rRNA from 1 species